GGCCUAACCCGCAACCUCCUGUUGUGGCAAGGUUGAAAAUCAUGAGCCAUAGAGAACCCGUCAUUCAGGGCAUGGCUCAUGUUAUAGGAGGAAACUCUUAUAGGGCCGAAAGGCCU
rnacentral:sRNA from 1 species